rnacentral:lncRNA from 1 species
GGACUUCCGCUGAUUUACGAUAUAAAUGGGACUUACCUCCCCUCUAUCGUAUGUAUAUCCAUCGCAGCCUGCUUGUCUCUGUGGGUGUGCAGGUUCCCUUGAAUGACUGUGGUUUGUAACCUUUUCUUUAAAUUCUUUUUAAAUGGUUGUAUUUCUAUUUGGGCGGAAAAGUAUUCUCCUUUGAAGCUCUGUAUAUAUUCAAACUGUGUUAUAUUAGGUUUUUAUAAAAAAAAAUGCGGUGCCCCAGCAUGGCCGCAGUCUAAUUACUGGAACAAGUAAAAGAAAAAAAGAACAUGUUUCUCUCUUAUGCAUAAAACGACUUCAUAUGGUUUAAGGCUACUUUUGGUUAUGUUCCAAGUUUUUGUUUUAGAUGCUAAUUUUUUUAGCAAAACGCAAAAUGUCUAUGUUCUUUCCUCUUCUUCCACACACGCGGCAUAAAUUUUUUUUUAAGUGUUUACAAAGUUAUAGAAGAGGAAGGAACAAAAAACUGAAGUUAUCUAUUUUUGCAGAGUUGUAAUUUCUGCUGUUGAAAGCAUGCAAAACGUGAAGAUAUUGCAACUUUUGACGCAGUCGAUAAUUUCCGACGCUAUUUUAUAGGGUUACCAUCAUUUUAAUUUUUCUUUUUUUUUACUCGUUUCAAUCAUUUGACUGGCUUUGAUAUUUAAAUGAUUGAAACAAGUAAAAAAAAAAAAAAAUUAAAAUGAUGGUAACCCUAUAUAAUAGCGUCGGAAAUUAUCGACUGCGUCAAAAGUUGCAAUAUCUUCACGUUUUGCGUGCUUUCAACAGCAGAAAUUACAACUCUGCAAAAAUAGAUAACUUCAGUUUUUUGUUCCUUCCUCUUCUAUAACUUUUUAAUAUUUAUCGCAAAAAAGAAAAAUAAUUCAGAUUUGUAAGCAAUAACAUAAACCCUGUUAGUUGGCUGAGUUUUGUCACCUUUUUGUUUUUCUCCAAAAAUUUUUCUAACAAAUUCUAUGGCAUUUGCAUAGAACUGACUUUCUGACAAUUUUUUUCGGGGUAUUUUUUACAGCAUAUUAUUGUAAUUUACAUUUAAUAAUGAAAACCUUAAGUAGUUUUUGACUUCGUUACAAAUGUCUGAAAUAUGCUGAUCACAAAUAUAUCAUUUUCAAAAAUACAUUCGAUGAAAUUUGGGGUUUUUAUGAAAUAUAUAAUUUUCAACACUAUCGGAUAGCCUAAAAUAAUCAUAACUUAAAUUGCAUUUCUUUAAUUUUUUUGUUUUAUUGGUGUUAAUACAGUUUCCCACCUCACUAAACAAAUUUCGUUUGACACCUAUUUUAUCUCUUUUACUAUUCCAUUAACUUUUUAAGGUUAAAUUGGUUUUUCUUUUAAAGCCUAAUUCCAUAAACUAAUCCAAACUGGAUUAGUGAAUCUUUUCCUUUUGAACGACAGUUUUCAACACAAUUUCUAGUUAACUAAACACUUUAAAACUUCGUAUACUGGUAGAAUGUGUCAAAAUAAAACGUUUUUUUUCUCUUGGCUUUCUUGAGAAAAUUGUAAUUUGUUUGUUUAACGUAGUUUAAUUUUUCGAAUUUUAACCAAUCCUAUUGCCUCCAUUGAGCUUAAAUCAUUUGCUGCGUCUAAAACCGACAACAUCCUGUCACUAACCCUCAACCUAAAUUUAUGCCUUUCGUUUGUUUUUUUUCUUAAUUGCUAAAUUAAUUUAAGAAUAACUAUUAAGAAGAAAAAAAAAACGAAAGCAAUGGAAAAUAAUUUUAAUCUAACAAUUAAGAAAAAAAAACGAAAGCAAAAACUCAAAACAAGCGUAACAAUUAAAUUAAUUUAACAGUUAAGAAAAAAAACCAAAGGCUAAAAUUUAGGGUGAGGGUUAGUUAGGGUUAGUGACAACAAAUGAUUUUAGCUAAAUAGAGGGCAUAGGAUUGGUUAAAAUUCGAAAAAUUAAACUACGUUAAACUUACAAAUUACAAUUUUCUCAAAGCCAAGAGAAAAAAAUGUUUUAUUUUGAUACAUUCUACCAGUUUACGAAGUUUUAAAGUGUUUAGUUAACUAGAAAUUGUGUUGAAAACUGCCGUUCAAAAGGAAAAGAUCCGGAUUAGUUUAUGCACAACUCCAUUGUCUUCCAAGACAAAAGAAUACCGACAACAACAUGUUCUUUAUAACAUAGUGCAUAAGUAUAUAAAAUCAAAUCUGUCACUCUGAAAAAUACCCAUGUUAUUAUUUGUAUCUAUAUACACACGUGAAAUAUACACAAUUUAAUUUUAUAGCAUUCACACAUGCAUACACACAGCAAAUAAAUUCCUGUACAAAGUAAUCCGGCUGUUUACUUUCAUACUUACUAUUGUCUUUGUUCUUUGCAGUGAAUUUGUGCCUUAUCCAUAAUCCGACCAACAAAGAAAUAACAGCCAUAAAUAUAACAAUGAGUGGAGACUUGUUUUUGUGGAAAUCGCUGUGGAUAGUUCCCUCCAUGCAUUGCAAGUUUUCUUAGCUUGCUGUUCUAAGAAUAACUUCUCAAAUAAUGAAGUCCCUGAAGCACUGCAAGAAAACUCCAGCUGAAGGCCCAACACUGUGGAUCAUGGGCUCUAAACCAUAAUACUUAUAAACUCAGAAUUGCAGAGCUACAAAUUGCUGUGACCUGCCAUUGUGAAAUACAUACAGAAAACCAUUCAUCAUCAUCAUUGUUCGACCGUGGUCGAGACAAUGGAAUUUACUAUGUUAUGCCAGACCUCACGGUCCAUCAUAGCACUAUGGAGGUCUUGUUGCUGGAUGCCUGUAUCCCUGGAGAUUACAUCAGGGUAGGAGAGUGUGCACCCUCUGGUAUCGCGAGCAGAUGGCUUCCAGAGGAGAAGAGUAGAAGUUACCUUUUUUCUGCUCUACAACAAUGUCCAGCAAACUGGACUCUCCUACCUUUCACAAGAGAUGAUACAGGUGGUAGUUUCCCAUAUAUUUGUACUUUGGUUGGAUGAUGCUUCCACGAGAGAUUUUGAGCUCUCGUAAGGAGGCGAGUGUAAGUUCUAUCCAACCGCCUCUCAAGCUUCUUUGAUAACCAUUGAAAUGAAACCCAAUGGAAAGAUGGGAGUAUAUUGAGGGCAGAUAAAGUUCAGGAGAAAUGAAUUUAAAAGGAAAAUAUUUUUCUUUGAUUAAAUUGGAUUUUAAAGGAAGAUUUUCAAAACAAUAAAAAAAAGUUUAAAAUGACUGAAUUUCUAACAAUUUCCAUUGGGGGAAACACUGAAUUUCAGUUUGGUUUAUGAGUGAUAAAAAAAAUAAAUCCCUUGGAUUUCUAGGCUUAAUUCCUAUAAGCAAGGCAACUAGAGAGCCUUAUUCAGUUUUGCUGUUGAAGAAAUUAGAAAUGUGGCCAGAAACUUAUAAAUUGCAUUUUUCUUUUUUUUUUUUUUUCUUUUUUGUUAAUUGGUUGGGACGACGGACUACAUUAACUUUUUCUGCUCUCCGCUAAAAGCUUUCUAUUUCUAUGUACACUACAAAUGUAUCUGUCAUUCAUUGGCAUUAUGCAUUUGUGUGUUGAAACCUUGAGAUUUCUGUUCCUUGAAGUUUCCUGACUGUUUAAUCAGACAGGUAAUCAUCAUGAUCAUCAUUUAACAUCCGCUUUCCAUGCUAGCA